UGUGUGUGUGUGUGUGUGUGUGUGUAUGUAUCUAUAUAUAUAGAUACAUACACACACACACAAACACAUACACU
rnacentral:miRNA from 1 species